GGUUCGAUCCUGGCUCAGGAUUGAACGCUGGCGGAUGCUUUACACAUGCAAGUCGAACGGCAGCACGGACUUCGGUCUGGUGGCGAGUGGCGAACGGGUGAGUAAUGUAUCGGAACGUGCCCAGUAGCGGGGAUAACUACGCGAAAGCGUAGCUAAUACCGCAUACGCCCUUCGGGGGAAAGCGGGGGACCUUCGGGCCUCGCACUAUUAGGAGCGGCCGAUAUCGGAUUAGCUAGUUGGUGGGGUAACGGCUCACCAAGGCGACGAUCCGUAGCUGGUUUGAGAGGACGACCAGCCACACUGGGACUGAGACAGGGCCCAGACUCCUACGGGAGGCAGCAGUGGGGAAUUUUGGACAAUGGGGAAACCCUGAUCCAGCCAUCCCGCGUGUGCGAUGAAGGCCUUCGGGUUGUAAAGCACUUUUGGCAGGAAGAAACGGCACGGGAUAAUACCCCGUGCAACUGACGGUACCUGCAGAAUAGCAACCGCCAACUACGCCAGCAGCCGCGGUAAUACGUAGGGUGCAAGCGUUAAUCGGAAUUACUGGGCGAAGCGUGCGCAGGCGGUUCGGAAAGAAAGAUGCAGAAACUUCAGAGCUUAACUUUGGAACUGCAUUUUUAACUACCGAGCUAGAGUGUGUCAGAGGGAGGUGGAAUUCUCAUGUGUAGCAGUGAAAUGCGUAGAUAUGCGGAGGAACACCGAUGGCGAAGGCAGCCUCCUGGGAUAACACUGACGCUCAUGCACGAAAGCGUGGGAGCAAACAGGAUUAGAUACCCUGGUAGUCCACGCCCUAAACGAUGUCAAUUAGCUGUUGGGGCCUUCGGGCCCCUGGUAGCGCAGCUAACGCGUGAAGUUGACCGCCUGGGGAGUACGGUCGCAAGAUUAAAACUCAAAGGAAUUGACGGGGACCCGCACAAGCGGUGGAUGAUGUGGAUUAAUUCGAUGCAACGCGAAAAACCUUACCUACCCUUGACAUGUUCAAAUCCCGAAGAGAUUUGGGAGUGCUCGUAAGAGAACCGGAACACAGGUGCUGUAUGGCUGUCAGCUCGUGUCGUGAGAUGUUGGGUUAAGUCCCGCAACGAGCGCAACCCUUGUCAUUAGUUGCUACGAAAGGGCACUCUAAUGAGACUGCCGGUGACAAACCGGAGGAAGGUGGGAUGAUGACGUCAAGUCCUCAUGGCCCUUAUGGGUAGGGCUUCACACGUCAUACAAUGGUCGCAGAGGGUCGCCAACCCGCGAGGGGAGCCAAUCCCAGAAACCCGAUCGUAGUCCGGAUCGCAGUCUGCAACUCGACUGCGUGAAGUCGGAAUCGCUAGUAAUCGCGGAUCAGCAUGUCGCGGUGAAUACGUUCCCGGGUUCUGUACACACUGCCCGUCACACCAAGGAGUGGGUUUUACCAGAAGUAUAGUCAACCGUAAGGAGGGCGAUUACCACGGUAGGAUUCAUGACUGGGGUGAAGUCGUAACAAGGUAG
rnacentral:rRNA from 1 species